GACUAACGCUGUCGGCGUGCUUAACACAUUCAAGUCGAACGGUAAGGCCCUGCUUUUGUGGGGUGCUCGAGUGGCGAACGGGCGCUUAACACGUGAUUAACCUGCCCUUGACUUUUCGCUACCUUCAGGAAACUGGGGCUAAUACCCGAUACGAGCUCCUUCUGCAUGGUGGGGGUUUUAAAGUUUCGGCGGUUGGGGAUGGACUCGCGGCUUUUCAGCUUGUUGGUGGGGUAGUGGCUUACCAAGGCUUUGACGGGUAGCCGGCCUGAGAGGGUGACCGGCCACAGUGGGACUGAGAUACGGCCCAGACUCCUACGGGAGGCAGCAGUGGGGAAUAUUGCACAAUGGGCGGAAGCCUGAUGCAGCAACGCCGCGUGCGGGAUGACGGCCUUCGGGUUGUAAACCGCUUUCGCCUGUGACGAAGCGUGAGUGACGGUAAUGGGUAAAGAAGCACCGGCUAACUACGUG
rnacentral:rRNA from 1 species